GGUUGUGGCUCAGUGGUAGAGCGCUUGUGUUGCACUUGUGAGGCACUGGGUUCGAUCCUCAGCACCA
rnacentral:tRNA from 1 species